UUAAACUGUCACAAAUCUUCAUAUUUUACAGGAAUACAUUUUUUUUCUUUUUUUUUUUUUACCGAAGUAUGAGUACACACGUUGCGACGAUCGAAUAAGCGAGCAGUGUUCCAAUGCUCAUCAUAUUUACCAGUUGAGUCAAUUCAAAAAUGGCAGCCAGCAAACCUAAAAUUUUAACGAACAGCGGUGAAUAUUAUUAUCCGAAUACUGAAAAAAAAAAAAAAAGUACGAACCAGUAAGAAUUCCUGCGGAGAAUGUACCCAUCAGAGGAGUAUGGAAUCGUGAACUGACCUUUCCCAUCCAUUCGAAUAUCAAUCCGUCGGAUGCCAUGGCGUAAAUAAUUCGUGACCGCAAAUGGCACCUAUAGUCACCAGCCAUUUCGCCCAAUUCCAACCGAUGCGAUCGAAUAAUUCCGGAAACGGGGCAUCCUCGUUCUGCUCGAAAUAAGGAAGGACGGUAGUCAAUACCGUGGAUACACCGAAGUACGAAAGAAAGACGACGGUCAACGAAGCAACGAUUGCUAUUGGAAUCGAUUUUUGUGGAUCUUUCGCCUCCU